CAGAGGAGAUUCCCACAGUGUCCCAGGGCUCAGGUCUGUUUAAUCGAGAAAUAAAAAAAAAACCUGUAACAUGUCAAGACCAUUUAAAUUCACUUUGUUUUUCAUAUUUUAUAACAGCUGCAGAUAAAGAUCCUGUUCUCCCUGCUCACAUUUCUGGAUCUUCUUCAAGUGUUAAAGUUGGGGGGGAUUUUGAGUUCAAGUGCAGCACAUUUGGAUCAAAGAAACCUGAGGAAGUGAUGUUUGUUUACCUCUGCAAGGACGGAGUUGGCAUAAAGAAGGCCUCGACCAACAAUUAUGACUCCACUUUCCAAGUGACAAGUGCCACAAAAGAGCACAGAGGAAGUUACAGCUGCUUGUUCUCCAGAACAAAAUACCAGCCCAGUGAGGUGAGAGGACGGGGGAAACUCCAUCUCCAUCCAAAUAAUUGAGAGAGUGUAUCCAGCAGUCAUAGCCACUGAUGAGUCCAGAGUGACAGCAGGAGCACAUGUGGAUUUCAGAUGCUCCUCUACUGAUGCUCCAGACACCGUAGUCCUCCUUGCGUACCUCUGCAGGAAUCACACCAUCAUUGACAUUGAGAUGUGGGAUUCUCAGAAGAAGCAGGCUAGUUUCCAUCUCAGAAGAGUCCAGCAGGUCAAUACAGGCAACUAUAGCUGUGUGGUGUCAGAUGCACCACUGUCUGCAACAGAGCCGGAUGUGUGUGGAAGACGUGCAGUUUUCCUCAAAGUUUAUGCACAAGAUAUGUCCACACCUGUUGAGUUAGAACCUGAACAGGUUUCACAUUGUAAUGAGAACUUCUUUCGGAUACUGUGCAACAUCGGAGUGGUCAUGAUUGCUGUGGCUAUUAU